CCUACGGGAGGCAGCAGUGGGGAAUAUUGCGCAAUGGGCGAAAGCCUGACGCAGCGACGCCGCGUGAGGGAUGAAGGUCUUCGGAUCGUAAACCUCUGUCAGCAGGGAAGAACGGUCACUGUGCUAAUCAGCAGUGAAUUGACGGUACCUGCAAAGGAAGCACCGGCUAACUCCGUGCCAGCCGCCGCGGUAAUACGGGGGGUGCUUGCGUUAAUCGGAAUUACUGGGCGUAAAGCGCUCGUAGGCGUUAUGGCAAGUCAAGGGUGAAAUCCCCGCGCUCAACGUGGGAACUGCCUGUUAUACGGGCAAACUGGAGUGUGUGAGAGGAUAGUGGAAUUCGAGGUGUAGGAGUGAAAGCCGUAGAUAGCUGGAGGAAAAUCAGUGGCGAAGGCGACUAUCUGGCACAUAACUGACGCUGAGGAGCGAAAGCGUGGGUAGCAAACAGGAUUAGAGACCCGUGUAGUC
rnacentral:rRNA from 1 species